rnacentral:rRNA from 1 species
UACGUAGGGUGCGAGCGUUAAUCGGAAUUACUGGGCGUAAAGCGUGCGCAGGCGGUUUUGUAAGCCAGAUGUGAAAUCCCCGGGCUUAACCUGGGAAUGGCAUUUGGGACUGCAAGGCUCGAGUGCGGCAGAGGAGACUGGAAUUCCUGGUGUAGCAGUGAAAUGCGUAGAGUAUCAGGAGGAACACCGAUGGCGAAGGCAGGUCUCUGGGCUGACACUGACGCUCAUGCACGAAAGCGUGGGGAGCAACAGG